CUCCCUAUGGCUCAAUUGGUAGAGCAUGGUGUUUGCAACGCCAGGGUUGUGGGUUCGAUUCCCACAGGGGGC
rfam:Salmo salar isolate Sally breed double haploid chromosome ssa01, whole genome shotgun sequence.